rnacentral:rRNA from 1 species
UACGUAGGGCGCAAGCGUUGUCCGGAAUUAUUGGGCGUAAAGAGCGCGCAGGCGGUCGAUCAAGUCGAGUGUGAAAGCCCCCGGCUCAACUGGGGAGGGUCAUUCGAUACUGAUCGACUCGAAGGCAGGAGAGGGUAGUGGAAUUCCCGGUGUAGUGGUGAAAUGCGUAGAUAUCGGGAGGAACACCAGUGGCGAAGGCGACUACCUGGCCUGUUCUUGACGCUGAGGCGCGAAAGCUAGGGGAGCAAACGGGG